UGGGUAACCUGCCUGUAAAACUGGGAUAACUCCGGGAAACCGGAGCUAAUACCGGAUAGUUCCUUGAACCGCAUGGUUCAAGGAUGAAAGACGGUUUCGGCUGUCACUUACAGAUGGACCCGCGGCGCAUUAGCUAGUUGGUGGGGUAAUGGCUCACCAAGGCGACGAUGCGUAGCCGACCUGAGAGGGUGAUCGGCCACACUGGGACUGAGACACGGCCCAGACUCCUACGGGAGGCAGCAGUAGGGAAUCUUCCGCAAUGGACGAAAGU
rnacentral:rRNA from 1 species